CACUAAUUAGCAUUCUCCUUAUCAUUAUAAAUAAUCUUUAGAGACGCAACUUUGUAAUUUGAAAAAUUAUUCUAAAAAUCCUUAAACACAGACACACACCAAUGGCAAAAGUUGUAUUGUUUCCUUGCUUGAUGGUUUUAUUUCUCGUGAUAUUUGCACCAGGGUUUGCGAAUGCUUGUAACUACCCGUGCCAUGACCCAAGUGCUUGUGCUAAAUUACGCUGUGAUCCCCCCGGUUGCGUAAAGCGAUGCCGCAACUCUUGCUGCAUUUGUCAAUGUCUUGAAAAUGAAAAAGCUCAAAUAAACAUGUAACAAUUCCAUGACAUUGUCGUGGAAUUUAUAAGUAAUAAGACAAGUUGAAGUAAUAACAUUGUUCAUUAUUCCC